rnacentral:rRNA from 1 species
AGCGAACGCUGGCGGCAGGCCUAACACAUGCAAGUCGAGCGCCCCGCAAGGGGAGCGGCAGACGGGAGAGUAACACGUGGGAACGUACCCUUUGGUUCGGAACAACCCAGGGAAACUUGGGCUAAUACCGAAUAAGCCCUUACGGGGAAAGAUUUAUCGCCGAAGGAUCGGCCCGCGUCUGAUUAGCUAGUUGGUGAGGUAACGGCUCACCAAGGCGACGAUCAGUAGCUGGUCUGAGAGGAUGAUCAGCCUCACUGGGACUGAGACUCGGCCCAGACUCCUACGGGAGGCAGCAGUGGGGAAUAUUGGACAAUGGGCGCAAGCCUGAUCCAGCCAUACCGCGUGGGUGAUGAAGGCCCUGGGGUUGUAAAGCCCUUUCGGCGGGGAAGAUAAUGACGGUACCCGCAGAAGAAGCCCCGGCUAACUUCGUGCCAGCCGCCGCGGUAA